UACAGAGGUGGCAAGCGUUGUUCGGAAUUACUGGGCGUAAAGCGCGUGUAGGCGGUCUCUUCAAGUCAGGCGUGAAAGCCCCGGGCUCAACUCGGGAACUGCGCUUGAUACUGUCGAGCUAGAGUGUGGAAGGGGCGAUUGGAAUUCCGUGUGUAGCGGUGAAAUGCGUAGAUAUACGGAGGAACACCAGAGGCGAAGGCGGCUAUCUGGUCGAGUACUGACACUGAGACACGAAAGCAUGGGGAUCAAACAGGAUUAGAAA
rnacentral:rRNA from 1 species